GAGAGAGAGAGAGAGAGAGAGAGAGAGAGAGAGAGAGAGGAGAGUAGAAUUUCGUGUGUAGGGGUGAAAUCCGGAGAUCUACGGAGGAAGGCCAAAAGCAAAGGCAGCUCUUUGGGUCCCUACCGACGCUGGUGUGUGAAAGCAUGGGGAGCGAACA